rnacentral:rRNA from 1 species
AUUGAACGCUGGCGUCAGGCCUAACACAUGCAAGUCGAGCGAGCGGCGGACGGGUGAGUAAUGUAUGGGGACUGCCCGAUAGAGGGGGAUAACUACUUGAAACGGUAGCUAAUACCGCAUACUCUCGGAUCACCCAUAUCGGAUUAGCUAGUAGGUGAGGUAAUGGCUCACCUAGGCGACGAUCCCUAGCUGGUCUGAGAGGAUGAUCAGCAACCCUGUGACGUGGCGCCGGCCCAGACUCUUACGGAGUCAGCAUUGGGGAUAAUCGAACAAGUGGCGCAAGCGAGAUGCUGCCAUGCAGCAUGUAGGAAGACGGCCAUAGGGUUGGAAAGUAGUUUGAGUGGGGAGGCGUUACAGACAGAAGAAGCACCGGCUAACUCCGUGCCGGCCGCGGCGGUAAUUC